UUGAAAGAGCCCGGUGACAGGUGCUGCAUGGCUGUCGUCAGCUCGUGUCGUGAGAUGUUGGGUUAAGUCCCGCAACGAGCGCAACCCUCGCCUUUAGUUGCCAGCAUUCAGUUGGGCACUCUAAAGGGACUGCCGGUGGUCAAACCGGAGGAAGGUGGGGAUGACGUCAAGUCCUCAUGGCCUUUAUGUCUAGGGCUACACACGUACUACAAUGGCAGGUACAAAGGGCAGCGACACAGCGAUGUGAUGCGAAUCCCGAAAAGCCUGUCUCAGUCCGGAUCGGAGUCUGCAACUCGACUCCGUGAAGUUGGAAUCGCUAGUAAUCGUGGAUCAGCAUGCCACGGUGAAUACGUUCCCGGGCCUU
rnacentral:rRNA from 1 species